rnacentral:rRNA from 1 species
AUUGAACGCUGGCGGCAGGCCUAACACAUGCAAGUCGAACGAGUGGCGGACGGGUGAGUAAUGUCUGGGAAACUGCCUGAUGGAGGGGGAUAACUACUGGAAACGGUAGCUAAUACCGCAUACCAUCGGAUGUGCCCAGAUGGGAUUAGCUAGUAGGUGGGGUAACGGCUCACCUAGGCGACGAUCCCUAGCUGGUCUGAGAGGAUGACCAGCCACACCGGAACUGAGCAAAGGUCUAGACUCCGACGGGAGGGAGAAGUGGAGAAUAUUGCAUAAUGGGCGAAAGCAUUAUGCAGCCAUGCCGCGUGUAUGAAGAAGGCCUUCGGGUUGUAAAGUACUUUCAGCGGGGAGGCGUUACCCGCAGAAGAAGCACCGGCUAAAUCCGGCCCAGCAGCCGCGGUAAGUC